rnacentral:rRNA from 1 species
UACGUAGGGGGCUAGCGUUGUCCGGAAUCAUUGGGCGUAAAGAGCGUGUAGGCGGCUUGUCGCGUCGGAUGUGAAAGCCCGGGGCUUAACUCCGGGUCUGCAUUCGAUACGGGCAGGCUAGAGUUCGGUAGGGGAGAUCGGAAUUCCUGGUGUAGCGGUGAAAUGCGCAGAUAUCAGGAGGAACACCGGUGGCGAAGGCGGAUCUCUGGGCCGAUACUGACGCUGAGGAGCGAAAGCGUGGGGAGCAAACAGG